CCUGAUGCAGGCCUCACCCUCCUCUCAGUACCCACACCAGGGACUCUCAUACGGGGGAGGAGUGGGGAGCUUAGGAGCUUAGACCCAGCUGGUUCUAGACCUGGCUCUACUGCUUAGCAGCCAAGACACUUCAGUUUCCUUGUAUGUGAGAUGGGAGUGUUAUCGAUAUGUAACACACAGAGCUGGGCAGUGUCCCUCUUGCUCACAAGAUCUGAAGUCCAUGAGGGCAGGGAUCAUGAGCCCCACCCCACCCCUCCCUCCUCCAGAGUGUAACAUCCUUGGGACCUAAAACAGAGCCUGGCACAGGGGUAUGUCCCAGCACGAGUCUGUGGAUGAAUGAAUGAGUGAAGUCUGGAUUGGCUUUUUUUCUAGUGCCUGGUCUGUGUUUGGUAAAUGCCCCUCCCUCCUCCUGCUGGCCUGUUUUUGACAAGCAUUUCUUGGAUGCCCGACAUGUGCUGGGCGUUGGAUAUGGGGCUUCACUUGUAGGAGUAGAUGAAUAGAGUCACUUAUUCAUGCAUUUCUUCAGCUCGGCAAGAUUCUGGGCACCUCUCUGCCCUCACCCUUUGCGAGCUCUUCCUCCAUUUCAAAGAGGCCCUGGCAGAAAGG
rnacentral:lncRNA from 1 species